UACGUAGGUGGCAAGCGUUGUCCGGAUUUACUGGGCGUAAAGAGCGCGCAGGCGGUCGUUCAAGUCGCGUGUGAAAGCCCCCGGCUCAACUGGGGAGGGUCACGCGAUACUGAUCGACUCGAAGGCAGGAGAGGGUAGUGGAAUUCCCGGUGUAGUGGUGGAAUGCGUAGAUAUCGGGAGGAACACCAGUGGCGAAGGCGGCUUUCUGGACACUUACUGACGCUGAGACGCGAAAGCGUGGGGAGCAAACAGG
rnacentral:rRNA from 1 species